GCUGCAGCUCAAUGGUAGAGCAUCUGCUUUGCAUGCAGAAGGUCCCCAGUUAAGUCCCUGGUAUAUCCA